CGGGUGAGUAACACGUAUCCAACCUGCCGUCUACUCUUGGACAGCCUUCUGAAAGGAAGAUUAAUACAAGAUGGCAUCAUGAGUCCACAUGUUCACAUGAUUAAAGGUAUUCCGGUAGACGAUGGGGAUGCGCUCCAUUAGAUAGUAGGCGGGGUAACGGCCCACCUAGUCUUCGAUGGAUAGGGGUUCUGAGAGGAAGGUCCCCCACAUUGGAACUGAGACACGGUCCAA
rnacentral:rRNA from 1 species